AAGUCGUAACAAGGUUUCCGUAGGUGAACCUGCGGAAGGAUCAUUAUCGUAAACAAAGGCCUUGGGUUGUCGCUGGUCCUCCGGGACAUGUGCACGCCCUUGGUCGUACAUCCUUCAUACCCCUGUGCACCUCUGCGUGUGGUUCUCUCCCUCCUGGGGUUUGGGCCCGCGUCUCCUUAUAAACACCCCUUGUAUGUCUUACGAAUGUCUACUAUGCGAUGAAAAGCAUCUAAUACAACUUUCAACAACGGAUCUCUUGGCUCUC
rnacentral:misc_RNA from 1 species